rnacentral:lncRNA from 1 species
GUUUUCCAUUUGCAGCUGUUUCAGGAAUAGUUUUCCUCCUUUCUAGUGCUAUUAGCAGCAUAUACGCCACUGCAUUUGUUAUUUCUCCUUCAACUUCCCAAGUCUCAUUCAUGCUGCAGUCACACCAGGACAACAGCUCCAACAUACAGCAAACUAAUAUCAAACAAAUUUUCUGAUUGCUGGGUAUUGUUUCUCCUGGAACAUGUUGGAUUCCUCUGAGGUCUCUGCCAGUAUAGACAUCUCCAUUGCCCUGUGUAGACAUGCCCUGUGACUGUGGGACUCAUCCAGAUGGUUAUAUCGUACUUUAUUCUCUGGAGUAUGCUGUGUCAUAAGCCUUCAAUUUAUCUACUACUUCAGAAUAUGCAAGUAGGUCACCGCAGCACAGGAAGGGCCUUGUACAGCAGAAAACAACCACAGGGCCACCAGGGAUGGAGCUACACAAGGAAUGCAGUGGCACGCACUGGUUUCAAGGCUGGCUCUGCAUGAGCAACACAGCUCA